UACGUAGGUGGCAAGCGUUGUCCGGAAUUAUUGGGCGUAAAGCGCGCGCAGGCGGUCCUUUAAGUCUGAUGUGAAAGCCCACGGCUCAACCGUGGAGGGUCAUUGGAAACUGGGGGACUUGAGUACAGAAGAGGAAAGCGGAAUUCCACGUGUAGCGGUGAAAUGCGUAGAGAUGUGGAGGAACACCAGUGGCGAAGGCGGCUUCCUGGUCUGUAACUGACGCUGAGGCGCGAAAGCGUGGGGAGCAAACAGG
rnacentral:rRNA from 1 species